GCCGGUCUAGCCCAAUGGCAGAGGCAACGCGUUCAAGGCGCGGUCAGUCUGGGUUCGAGUCCCAGGAUCCGGCA
rnacentral:tRNA from 1 species